ACAUGCCUACAUCAUAGCGUUAAUGCAUUGGAUCCCAUUAGAACUCCGCAGUCAAGUGCGCUCAGAGUAUUACUAGGAUGGGUGACCUCCCAAGAAGUCUUAGUGUUUUACAUGCC
rnacentral:rRNA from 1 species